rnacentral:lncRNA from 12 species
AAAGAAUACUAGUGCCUUUUUUCUCAUUUAGUGAAUGGGAAAUAGGGUGUGGAGUAUUGAAAUCUUGCCCAACUUACAUAGUUGCCAUUGUGAUUCAUUGACAUUCUUGAUAACUGUCUUACCAUAUAGGAUUCUCUUAUUUCAUUCUUGUGCUGGUAUAUAAGGGAUAACUGAGUGAAAGAAUAUGCUUAAAGUAGUCAGCUUGUCUCAGAGAAUUUAAGAAAUGAAACCCAAGCUGCAUGACAUUUCUUCUUAUUUUCUUUUUUUCUCUUGAUGCCACGCCUUGGAUAUGUGAAGGCUGGAACCAUGGAAGGUGCAGAAGAGAAAAAUGGAUGGUCACUGUUAUGCCAAGAACCCUUAAGAAAAAGAAAAAAAAAACCCUCACAGAACUGAACCUCAACUUAAGAAAGAAGUUUGCCCAAAAGAUGUUUUGAAAGGCAAGGAAAAACUUACCUGUGAUAAAGGUAAGCUAUCACAAAGAAUAUAGACAGAUGUAAAGAACUGCUACAAGAAUAGUUAGGAUGGAGCUGC